UGGAAUCUUGGAGCAAACCCUAACUCUUGCUCCAUCUCCUCCGCCCCCAUUUUCUCCCUCCUCUCCCUUCUUCUUUGAUUUCCGCCAUUGAAAUUCUCUCUCUUCCCUUUUCCUCAUCUCUCCUGCAAUUAAUACUCCAUAGGCUUGGUGAAGCUUUUCAUGUUCCACAAAAAUGGUGUCCGGUAAUCUAUUAUUCUUGUUCUUCAAUUUCCGAAGCUCGCGCAGCUCUCUCGCCUUUCCAUCUUCAUUUUUGCUCUUCUAAUGAUAUCUCACCUAAAUGACAUGUACAAGAGAUUACAAGACUGUAACCAUAGUUUGCGGCAGUAUAAUAGCAAACUUCAAACGGUGCUUUCUACAGCCAGUGAGACCUUGAAACGCGCCGAGUGAGAAAGAUGUUGUAGUCGAAAACCUCAACACCUUGAGGGGGAAAGUACAGUUCAUUGCAGGAUCAGUUUCCGUCAUCCAUGAUCAAUAAAACAUCCUCCUUUUAUGGUGGCUGGAGCUGGAAGACCUCUUAAGAGGAAUAAAGGGAAAGAUUGGACAACUGCAUUUUGAGAUAAUAUUUGACAAUAUACAUACCUAAUACCUCCACUCGCCAUGAGAUAAGAUUUGAUUCAAAUGGAAGAUUCGAUGAUGAGUAUCUAUAUGAGAUAGAACGGUCGAGCCAAUUUAAGCAAGAGUGUGAAAUGAGAAAAAAUAAGUAGGAUCAAGGUUUGGAUGUCUAGCAGAAGGUUUGGACACUUUUGAAUGAAUUCUUGCUGAAAACAAAUGUUGAUUGAUAUUUUUUUUCCUGAUGUGUAAUCACUUUUGCCGAUCAUCUCCAAAACAUCGCCAGGAACUUGGAAUGGAUGAGCAUCUUCCUGCUGUUUUGUUAAUGGGAGGAGGGAAGGCAUCGGGCUUAUUGAGGCUACUGCACGAGAUCGUGGAAAUGCGUUGUAUGAUGCUAACCUUGGUGAGCCAACAGGUCAAAUUCUUGUGAUGUAUGGUCACAACAAAAAUCUUGCCGGAAAGCUGAGUCCAAUUGAUCAGAAGAUCCUGUACAGGUUCAAUCUGUCUAUGAAGAGAUGAUAUUGUGUGGAUGGAACCAGAUAGAUAGGCUAGAUCGAUGUUACUGUUGGCCGCUGAAGCACAUGAAGCGGAUGCUGAGAUGAUACUUAUUGCAAAUUAAUCUCCUAGCAAAGAAGAUGACGUGUGACGGUAUUGAACAUAUUUGGUAAUUUUGACUGGGUUAGUCUUCCUUACUUUUAACAUGAGUAUAUUAUCAUAUCUGAAUAUGUUAUGUGGUCUACAAAUGUUGUUUCAAGCUUUCAGAAUAGUCAAUUGGAUAAAGUGUGUUGGAAAUGUCCCAGCCAGUGAAAUUUAUGAUUUGCUCUGUGGCAAAUAUUCUGAGGAGAUCCAUGAAUUUAUCAAGGGGAUAGAUAUUGUCCAUAGGGAACAUGCUGCAAAACAGUAGGUUUGGAUAUCUAUUUUUAAUUUUUUUUUAUUCAUUUUCCUUAUUUUUAUCCUAAUGUUUAUUAUA